rnacentral:rRNA from 1 species
UACGUAGGUGGCAAGCGUUGUCCGGAUUUACUGGGCGUAAAGAGCGCGCAGGCGGUCGUCCAAGUCGCGUGUGAAAGCCCCCGGCUCCAACUGGGGAGGGUCACGCGAUACUGGUCGACUCGAAGGCAGGAGAGGGUAGUGGAAUUCCCGGUGUAGUGGUGAAAUGCGUAGAUAUCGGGAGGAACACCAGUGGCGAAGGCGACUACCUGGCCUGUUCUUGACGCUGAGGAGCGAAAAGCGUGGGGAGCGAACGAGGA